ACGCUCGACACCUACGGGGGCAGCAGUGGGGAAUAUUGCACAAUGGGGGAAACCCGUGAUGCAGCGACGCCGCGUGAAGGAAGAAGUAUCUCGGUAUGUAAACUUCUAUCAGCAGGGAAGAAAGUGACGGUACCUGACUAAGAAGCCCCGGCUAACUACGUGCCAGCAGCCGCGGUAAUCUGAGGCGGGCGUGGCAAGGC
rnacentral:rRNA from 1 species